rnacentral:rRNA from 1 species
GACGAACGCUGGCGGCGUGCCUAAUACAUGAAAGUAGAACGCAGUUGCGAACGGGAGAGUAACGCGUAGGUAACUGCCUCAUAGCGGGGGAUAACUAUUGGAAACGAUAGCUAAUACCGCAUACUGUGAGAUGGACCUGCGUUGUAUUAGCUAGUUGGUGAGGUAAAGGCUCACCAAGGCGACGAUACAUAGCCGACCUGAGAGGGUGAUCGGCCCCACCGGGACUGAGACCCGGCUCAGACUCCUACGGGAGGCAGAAGUAUGGAAUCUUCGGCCAUGGACGGAAGUCUGACCCAGCAACGCCGCGUGAGUGAAGAAGUUUUUCUGAUCGUAAAGCUCUUUUGUCAGCGACGCGGUAUCUAACAAGAAAGGGACGGCUAACUCCGUCCCAGCAGCCGCGGUAAUUC